GACGGAGGGGGCUAGCGUUGUUCGGAAUGACUGGGCGUAAAGGGCGCGUAGGCGGUUUUUUAAGUGAGGCGUGAAAGCCCUGGGCUUAACCCAGGAGGUGCGUUUCAUACUGGAAAGCUUGAGUGCGAGAGAGGAAAGCGGAAUUCCUAGUGUAGAGGUGAAAUUCGUAGAUAUUAGGAAGAACACCAGUGGCGAAGGCGGCUUUCUGG
rnacentral:rRNA from 1 species